GUGCACGUAGUAGGCGCUUCAGAAAUAAUUGUUGAGUGACUCCUUAGCCGCCCCCUUAAGCUCAUUGCCCCUGACUUGAGUAAGGAGGGAGAUUGAAGAUUGAGAUGCUGAGACUGAGGCCCAGAGAGACUAAAUAAUUUGCCUGAGUGGGUAGUAUGAUCAGCGGUGUCCUACCCAUAUACUAAAGACAUCGAGGAAGAAAAGAAGACCUCUCCUUGGGACUUCCUGUGGUCCUUGAGUAGUUUUCUUUCCCAGGUCUGGAAGGAGGCAACUUUGACACAAAUUCUGCCUUUGGAAGAGUCAGGGCAUCCAUUCGAGCCAGGUGACUACUUGUAGAUACCCAAACAUCAGGAAGAUGUUUAGUCUUCAGCCCUCAUGGAAUGGACUUUUCCAGAUCCUGCUGACUAGUCUUACUGCCAUCAAGAUUGCCAGAUGGAUGACCUGGCUACAUCACCGUACAUCACUCUGUGUGAGGCCUGCUGGGAUUGAUUUCAGUUCAGCCAAAGAAGCAGACCCUGAGAGGCCAGUAGACAGGUUAAGCUGCAAAGGCACCCUGACACCAACCAGUGGUCCUUGGCUGGUUGUUUGUUCUCCUCUGAUAACUGGGACCUUAUUUCUCACCUGUUACCUAUCAUGCAUUUGUUUUCUGUGCUUUCUGUCCUGUUUUGAGCACUUGGCUUUGGGAAAACAGAGGAACCCAAUACUUAUAUGAACUUGAUCCAAAAUUCCAGGUACGCCUUUAAUUGGAUUAAUUGUUGGAUAUUAACCCAUGCCCAUUUAAUCUUAGAGGAAAGGAUACAGGGUGGGUGUGAGGCAUGAUAUCCAGGACCAUUGUGAUUAUAGGUUCACACUCAAUCCUGAAAGCAGAAAAUACACACUUAAUGUUACUGCCCUACGCUGGAAAAAUGAGCCCUCCCAGCUCGUCACAUAUGAUUGGAAAAGGGUUACAAACAUCUCAACACUCACCCCCUCUAUGAUUGCUCUGUGCUGUAAGACCACCUCUGCUGUAUUAUGAGCAAAAUGGGACAGGUAGUCAGGCAAUGGUGUAGUAGACAGGAUGUAACUAUGCCAUGGGAUUACAUAAGAAUGUGACUAUUGGGGAGACAAGGGAACUUUAGAUAAUGUUUACUACUCUGGGAUUUUGUAUCACUGAGGGACUCUUUAGGAUAGCCCCUCAAAGACUUUAUUUUUUGUGCAGUUAACAAGGCACAUUAUUGUUUUCCCCCAAAUUGGCAGGGAUGCUGAGGGACAGGUUGAAUUCUCUUUGGCCAUCAACCCACAGCUAUCAUACCUCUGAGCAUAAGCAUACUUGCUUUUGGUCACUAAUUCCACCUCUAGUAGGAGACACAGAGAGUAUCUUUGUAACUGUAUUCCCGAUGUACAGCACUGCCUGUAGCAUUACUUUCCUAAACAGAAUGAACAGAUUUUUGCAAAUCUUUCAGUGAGAUCAUAGAUGCUGUGGAGGAGCUUAAUACUGAGGUGCAUGCACUUAGGGCCAUGGCCUUACAAAAUAGAGUAGCUCUACACUUCCUCCUGGCAGAGAGAGGAGGUGUAUGUGCUGUCAAAGGUGAUGCACCUGGGUUUCUGAUGAUUUCAACAGCAUUCAUACCCACUUGGACUGGGUUUGGAAAGUCUGGAAUAAAUUCUAGGCAGAUAAGAAGGCACCAUGGUCUCCAUGGAAGAGGCUAACAUCAUGGCUCCCCAAUUUUUCAUGGCUAACAUAUUUGUUUGUAGGUUUUCUAUAGGUUUUCCUUGUAAGUAUCAUUUGCUGUGUGUGCUUACAGCAUCUACCCUGUAUUAAGGAAGUACUCCCAAGGCAAACCCCAAAAUUACUAGCAUUUGAGAUUAAGAUGAUGGAGUUGGGGACAGAGGAGUGAUAUAGAUCCAAUUAUGGGGCUGCACCAUGAGUAUGAUUUGCACCAAAGGUGAACUUUUGCAAAGGUAGCCUAAGUGACUCAUGUUAUAAUCUCUCUUGACCUUUGGAUACAUGCCCAAUUGGUCUGUGGGGGUCUGGAGAUGCCCUUGGGUGUGCAUAUUUCAACAUGGGAAAAAGCUGAGGUAGCAUUAAAAAAAAACCAUACCUAUCUCCUCAGCAUACAUGUACCAAUCAGCAUUUUCUUACUCUUACAUGGAAGUCAUUUAUUUCUAUCUAUAAAACCUUUAGUUUAAAAUUGGUGCCUGCCACAGCUGUGGUAUGCUAAUAAAUACUAAUAUUAAUAAUAAUACUUUUGUCUUUUUUCCUGAGUUUGCCUCAUUGACUAGGGUGAGGUCCUAACCAAGAUUUCUUUUAACACCAUGCAAAUGCUAGAUAUUAUUACAUUUUUAAAAUACAGGUUGUUACGUAGAAACUAUGCUAUAUAUAGAUUUUUGUUUUCGUCUGCAAUGUUUUCCUUUCUUUUAAAGCAAUGUAGCAAUUCAUGUAGUACUUUGCAUUUUUACCAUUCAUUUAACAAAUAAUUUAAAAAAGUCAACAAGAGUAGAAAUGUAUGUCAAAAACUAGCAAAUUAUACAGCAAAUCAAACAUAUUUGGAAAGAAAAAUGUCCUUUUAGUUGCUGAUAUGUUAUGUCAAAAUGUGGGCAUUUGGAUCAUUUUGCAAUAAGAAAAAUAUGGCAAUUGAUUAAUGUAACUUCAGGGCUGUAUUUUACAAGUCUAAAGUGAUGAUUCUGUGCUAUUUAUACUUUCCAAAGAACUUUAUUUUUUACAUUUUUGUAUUUAGACUGGCAGUAAAUGUUUUCGAUAGAAUAAAAAAUUUUCUCAUCUUGUUUUAUUCUUAUAUCACUGUAUUGUGGUUUAAUGAAAUCCAUAAUUUUUCCCUUGUUGAUAUGCCAACAAAAGACAUAAA